rnacentral:rRNA from 1 species
GCGCAAGCCUGAUCCAGCAAUACCGCGUGUGUGAAGAAGGCCUGCGGGUUGUAAAGCACUUUCAAUCGUGAAGACGGGCUAUGGGGCCAAUACCCCCAUAGUUUGACGUUAACGAUACAAGAAGCACCGGCUAACUCCGUGCCAGCAGCCGCGGUAAUACGGAGGGUGCGAGCGUUAAUCGGAAUUACUGGGCGUAAAGCGCGCGUAGGCGGUCGGGCCAGUCGGAUGUGAAAGCCCCGGGCUUAACUCGGGAAUUGCAUUCGAUACUACCCGGCUAGAGUUUGGUAGAGGGCGACGGAAUUCCAGGUGUAGCGGUGGAAUGCGUAGAUAUCUGGAGGAACAUCAGUGGCGAAGGCGGUUGCCUGGACCAAAACUGACGCUGGAGGCGCGAAAGCGUGGGGAGCAAACAGGAUUAGAUACCCUGGUAGUCCACGCCGUAAACGAUGUCAACUAGCCGUUGGGCGGGUUUGCCGCUUAGUG